CCUCUGAUUACACGCACAGAGAGCGGGAGAGGAGAGUCAUCCGACCACUCUGUGUGGUUUCUGCUGGAUCUGAAAUGCUGAGCUAAAUGUUUAGAUUCUAGGAAGUAUUUUAUCCUUAUUUUCUUCCGUAUUUAUGAAAACUGCAGAGAAAUAUAAACUCGACAGUGAUAAAACUAGUUUAUCAUGGAUUCCGAUAAACAAAUGAGCUCGUGUGUCGACAAAUCCAGGAUUGUUUGCAGUUGCAGUGGAGCCAGGGAUUUUCGGUAAGGCCAGGCCUGAGUUCACUGAAAGAGUUUUCAGUUGUAAGUCCUGGGAUGAUGAUUAUGCGUUAGACUACUGAUCAACAUUGAUGUAGAACUCAAAUAACUGACCAGACUGAUGGGUUUUAGCUCGAGAAUGGUCUUCAAACUGGGGUUGAUGUUAAUGCUGUCUUUUACUUCUAAAACAGGGUGAGACGGUGAAUUGGAGAAGCUGAGGUUUGUAUAUCCCACAUCUCUGUUUAAUUCUAGAUAAAUCUGAGUUAAAUAACUUAAUUUCCAUUUGUAUUUGGGAUAUGUAUAACUUUUAAAGUUAUCAAUUCUGUAUGUGUUUGAGUGUGCAUAAUAAAACAAAAUGGAUGUCGUUGC